UACGUAGGGGGCAAGCGUUGUCCGGAAUUAUUGGGCGUAAAGAGCGCGUAGGCGGUCCGGUAAGUCGGUUGUGAAAGUCCAGGGCUCAACCCUGGGAUGCCGAUCGAUACUGUCGGACUAGAGUUCGGAAGAGGCGAGUGGAAUUCCCGGUGUAGCGGUGAAAUGCGCAGAUAUCGGGAGGAACACCAAUGGCGAAGGCAGCUCGCUGGGACGUUACUGACGCUGAGACGCGAAAGCGUGGGGAGCAAACAGG
rnacentral:rRNA from 1 species